ACGAUGAAGAGUUUGAUCCUGGCUCAGGAUGAACGCUAGCGGCAGGCCUAACACAUGCAAGUCGAGGGGUAACAGGGAGAAGCUUGCUUUUCCGCUGACGACCGGCGCACGGGUGCGUAACGCGUAUACAAUCUGCCUUAUACUGGGGUAUAGCCUUUAGAAAUGAAGAUUAAUCCCCCAUAGUCUCUUAGAGUGGCAUCAUUUUAGGAGUAAAGGUUACGGUAUAAGAUGAGUAUGCGUUCUAUUAGUUUGUUGGUGAGGUAACGGCUCACCAAGGCUACGAUAGAUAGGGGCCCUGAGAGGGGGAUCCCCCACACUGGUACUGAGACACGGACCAGACUCCUACGGGAGGCAGCAGUGAGGAAUAUUGGACAAUGGAGGCAACUCUGAUCCAGCCAUGCCGCGUGCAGGAAGACUGCCCUAUGGGUUGUAAACUGCUUUUAUAUAGGAAGAAACCUACUUACGUGUAAGUAGCUGACGGUACUAUAAGAAUAAGGAUCGGCUAACUCCGUGCCAGCAGCCGCGGUAAUACGGAGGAUCCAAGCGUUAUCCGGAAUCAUUGGGUUUAAAGGGUCCGUAGGUGGAUAAUUAAGUCAGAGGUGAAAUCUUGCAGCUCAACUGUAAAAUUGCCUUUGAUACUGGUUAUCUUGAGUUAUUAUGAAGUAGUUAGAAUAUGUAGUGUAGCGGUGAAAUGCAUAGAUAUUACAUAGAAUACCAAUUGCGAAGGCAGAUUACUAAUAAUCAACUGACACUGAUGGACGAAAGCGUGGGUAGCGAACAGGAUUAGAUACCCUGGUAGUCCACGCCGUAAACGAUGGUUACUAGCUGUUUGGACCUUGUGUCUGAGUGGCUAAGCGAAAGUGAUAAGUAACCCACCUGGGGAGUACGUUCGCAAGAAUGAAACUCAAAGGAAUUGACGGGGGCCCGCACAAGCGGUGGAGCAUGUGGUUUAAUUCGAUGAUACGCGAGGAACCUUACCAGGGCUUAAAUGUAAGUUGCAUUAGUUAGAGAUAGCUAUUUCUUCGGACCACUUACAAGGUGCUGCAUGGUUGUCGUCAGCUCGUGCCGUGAGGUGUCAGGUUAAGUCCUAUAACGAGCGCAACCCCUGUUGUUAGUUGCCAGCGAGUCAUGUCGGGAACUCUAACAAGACUGCCGGUGCAAACCGUGAGGAAGGUGGGGAUGACGUCAAAUCAUCACGGCCCUUACGUCCUGGGCUACACACGUGCUACAAUGGUCGGUACAGAGAGCAGCCACUACGCGAGUAGGAGCGAAUCUUCAAAGCCGAUCACAGUUCGGAUCGGAGUCUGCAACUCGACUCCGUGAAGCUGGAAUCGCUAGUAAUCGGAUAUCAGCCAUGAUCCGGUGAAUACGUUCCCGGGCCUUGUACACACCGCCCGUCAAGCCAUGGAAGUUGGGAGUGCCUGAAGUCCGUUACCGCAAGGAGCGGCCUAGGGUAAAAUCGAUAACUAGGGCUAAGUCGUAACAAGGUAGCCGUACCGGAAGGUGCGGCUGGAACACCUCCUUU
rfam:Formosa sp. Hel3_A1_48, complete genome.